UUUAUGCACAAAAGUUUUAAAUUUUGAUGAAGUCCAAUUUAGCUAUUUUUCUUUUGUUGCUUGUGCUUUGGUGUCAUAGCUAAGAAUCCAUUGCUAAAUCCAAGGUUAUAAAGAUUUACCCCUGACAUUUCCUUGUGUUUUUAUUAUUUUGAUUAUACUGAAGACAUUUUAUGGAUUAGUGUCCAAAGCACUUAAUGUUUUUUUGUAGGCCCCCAGUUUGUUGGGGGGUGCUCAAAGCAUUUAGGACUGUUUAUAGCUCUGGCUUAUUAGCCCCCAGUUUGUUGGUGGGGGGGGCUCAUGGGUUACAUUUUCUUUUUAUGUCCUCAGUUAUUUUAUUAUAUUUCCCCCUUUUUGUUUUGUAAUUUUUGUAGUAUCAAGGAGAACGUGGCAGCAUUACUCCCAGUGUUAAACUACGUGGAAUUAUUUUGUAGUUUGUGUAGUAUUAAGGAAAACACAGUAGUUUGUUGUAAUGUUGUGUGACGGGUAGUUUUUAUUUGUCGUUGGACUAUAAUUAAAUAUAUGAUUAUUAUUAUAAUGAGUAUUAGUAAUUUUGUAGUAGAACCAAAUAAAACAUGUAAUUUAGACAUGGGAUUUAGAUUAUUAAGUUUUUGAAUAAUUUUAGUUCAUACUUUUUGUGAAUUAAGUCGUAAUUUUUUUUUAAAAGUUUGUUGAAUUUUUUCUUGUAAAUUUACGAUUUUUUUUGUUAAAUUUUUGUGAUGUAAUAAAUGGUUUUUUAUUUUUGUCCAGGGGAAUGUAGACUGAUUAUAUGGAACCGAAGUGACACAUAAGGCACUUUGAUUCUAGUUAUAACGUAGCUUUAUUUGUCUUUGUAAAUUUACAAGUUGAUCCCCCAACAUAACCAUAGCUUGGUGUAAGUCUGUUAUUUUUGAAUGUAUUUUUGAAUCAAUUUGUCGUUGAGAAGACCAAAGUAUUUUAGAAUUUUUAUUUCAAUCAGUUAUAUAAUUAAUGGUCUGAAUAGAUUGUUUUAAAGCAACUCCAGCUACUGUAGCAGUAGCUGUUAUGGCUAUAAUACCCAUGACAGCUGUAAUCAACAUUUUUAUAAAUCUUUUACCUUUUUUUAAUGUAUCAGCUAAAUACUGUAAAACAGCCAUAGGAAGAGAUUUUUAUCAUUCCCUUCUAAGAUUGACAGGAAGCCAAAGACCUGUCCGAGCUCGUAAGAUAUACAAACUUUUAGUAGAUUUGUUAAAAGAUAUACUAGAGUUAAUGUAGGUAUACAGAGAGUAAUUUUUACAUAUUAUAAUAUCUUGAGUCUCAUUUUAUAUAGUUGGUUCUUUUAACAAUAUAUAAGGUAAUUUUACAUAACUAUGAGUAUAUCGAGUAACAUUUUUAUGAAAAGUCAAACUAUAAUUUUUAGAUUUGUUAUCCAUAUGUUUUACCCAAGUAUUAAUCUUUUUUAAAGCUGUCAUAAGCUUUUAUAGAUUUUUUUGGAUAGGAUAUCCAUUUAAAUGAGGACCAGGAGGAGAAAACCCUCCUGCGUGUCAUACUAUGGUAUCAUUAAUAGUAUUGUUAUAAAUAGUGUUAUCAUCUCUAUGUCAGUGUAAAUUUUUUAGACCCCUUUUUUUUUGGGCGGAGCCAAAAGGGCUUUAAUCAAUGACGGUUUUCUAAGAAGUAUUAACAAGAACCCGAGCCAUUUCUCCUUGGCAUCGAGUCCAAUGGACCCAAUCCGAUAAUCGAUCUACAAGAGGCAUCUGGCAUGGAGGCAAGUAAGGUGUGGAAACAUUUUUAUUAAGAGUGGAAUUAGAACUUUUAAAACUAAGCAUUUAAAAGAUAUAACCCAUGAUAUCUACUUUUAUUUUUGACAACAUUUAACCAUGCUUGAUAAUUUAUUUUAAGGUAAUGAUCUCCCUUUUCCAUAUAAAUAGGAGAUUUAUUAACACCCACCAUGUAAUUUAUUAUUAUUAUUAUUAUUAUUAUUAUUGGCUUUAAAGGGCCUCUAUCAUUAAAAGGACCAGGCAACCAUCCACACUCAUUUACAUAUACAAGAAUUGGGGCAUCCCAUCAGGUACCCCCCAUAUUAAGAGGAGGGUUAGGAAUAUAAGUCCAAUAAGUAUGGUUAGUACAAUUUAUCUCAUUGGCUGAUAUGUUUGUUACCUGUGCAGACAGCAUUGUCAACAUGGCUACAAAAAGAUUGGUGUUAGUGAGAGGUUUACCCUGUGAAAUGACAAGAUUUUUGGCAGUGUCUGUAAACUUUUUUAUUUGCCCCCAGGUCAAUGGAGGUGUCUUCUUCUUUUCACCAAGUAACAGUCUUGGCAAGCGCCUCCCAAUCUUGAGGAAUUAAUAUGUUUUUGGAAGCAUACC